CGCAAUGGCCGAAAGGCUGACGCAGCGACGCCGCGUGCGGGAUGACGGCCUUCGGGUGUAAACCGCUGUCGGGAGGGACGAAGAUCUGACGGUACCUCCAAAGGAAGCACCGGCUAACUCCGUGCCAGCAGCCGCGGUAAUACGGAGGGUGCGAGCGUUGUCCGGAAUCACUGGGCGUAAAGGGCGCGUAGGCGGCCCGGUAAGUAGGGGGUGAAAUCCUGCGGCUCAACCGCAGAACCGCCUUCUAGACUGCCAGGCUCGAGCACAGUAGAGGCAGACGGAAUUCCCGGUGUAGCGGUGGAAUGCGUAGAGAUCGGGAAGAACACCGGUGGCGAAGGCGGUCUGCUGGGCUGUUGCUGACGCUGAGGCGCGACAGCGUGGGGAGCAAACAGGAUUAGAUACCCUGGUAGUCCACGCCGUGAACGAUGGGUACUAGGCGUCGGGGGGAGCGACCCUCCCGGUGCCGUCGCUAACGCACUAAGUACCCCGCCUGGGGAGUACGGCCGCAAGGCUG
rnacentral:rRNA from 1 species